CAAGCAUAGAUUUUCUACCAACAAACGAGUAUAAAUACCAAUCAAAUACCAUAAAAAUGUCGACGAACCUGUGAGGAAGACGUUUGGAAGAAAUUUUGAAGAAAACGACGAAGAAAUGGCAGUAAAAUUGACACCAAAAAUUCGGCUGUGUCGAAGGACUUCCAAACCAAGAUGGCGUCGCCUUCUUCUCCAAUCUGAAAAAUGCACAGAAAAUAUUUUAGUCGGGUUGGACAUCAGCUAUAUAGGAUAUUUAUUACAGACGUAAGUUCUCCUAUAAUUUUUUCAAGUAUAUGGAAAAGUAUAAUAUUUUAUUUACGAAAAUUUAUAUAUUUUUAGUAAAAAUUUAUACCUGAUCAUACUUAAGCAGUGAUAUAUAUAUAUAUAUAUAUAUAUAUAUAUAUAUAUAUAUAUAUAUAUAUAUAUAUAUAUAUAUAUAUAUAUAUAUAUAUAUAUAUAUAUAUAUAUAUAUAUAUAUAUAUAUACAAAUACUAUUAUUUUUUCUCUAGCAAGACUGUAGAAGAGCCAUACAAGAUGAAACCAACGACUGAAAAGAUGAGGCUUGAAUUCUCUCGGGUAUAUUAAUUUUGAUCUUUCUUGUUUUAAUUUAACACAGAAAUACUUGUAUUGGAUAGUGCAGGUUUUUGAUUGACCAUUUGUUUUAGCAUGUAUUACCCUCAAUUUAGAUCUUUUAGGUUUUUCUGACCAAUGGAGAGAGCAGCAUAUUAGCACAUCUAGUUUAUUACAGAAUCUAACAUUUUGCAUUAUAUUAUAGAUCCCUACAACAGCUGUGAUAAAGCCACGCCCUAAAUAAUAGACCUGGAUAAUGCCUUCAAGAGCAUUGGAAAUGGUGAGAAAAACAAAUUUUAGAAAAUACUAUUGUUAAAUAUUACAAAAAUUUUCUUCAUUAGCCUUAUUUUUUAACAUGGAACAUAACAUUACUCUUCGUUUCGACUAGUACCAGUCAUCUACAGUAGAAUGCCACGAAAAAUAAAAGCUCGCUGGUCGUGAACAGCGAGCUUUUUGAAAAUUUUUAUUAAUUUCUAUUGUAAAGAUUUUUCUAAAAUUUUUGUUGCUUUUUCUCAAAGGAAGUGAAGAAAACUGGAUAGCAGAACCUAGAGUGAUGUAGACGACAUGGACUCACGAAAUCAAAUACGAAUAUAAGCUGCGAAGAUGCAACAAGAAUCGCAAAUGUAAGGUUUGUCGAUGUUUAAUCACAAUCAACGAGAUUCCAUUUACUAUUUACUAGUUUUAUAUAAUUCACAUUGCCGAGCUCUUUAACAUUCUAACUGCAAUAGACAACUUGCAUGUUAGACUACUUUUUGAUUUAGGCAAAAAAAAGUAAAUUCCCGUAAAGAACUUAUUAAAAUCAGUAAAAUAGCAAAAUUUGGUUGCGAAAUGUUGUAAAAUGCAGAAAAUAUAGCCUUGCGAAGUUUCCAUAUCUUCAGUAUAUUUGUAUCACGUGCGGAAAUUGUUACAAUUUUCGAGCCGAAAAUAAUUCUAUUAAAUAAUUCUAUUUUGUGAGUGUUUUGUAACGUGAAUUAAUAACAUUUUCUCAUUUUAUGAUUGUUUACGUAACAUUGAGUGCACUUGGAUGGACGUGUUGUGAUGGAUGGAUGGACGUGUUGUGAUGUACAAUGAAGAGAGCGCCAACCACGACGGAACCAUCAACAAAAUGACGAAUUGUGACCAAAAAAAGAAACAGCAAUGCAAAGAUGUAGAAUAAAUGUAAGUUUUGUUGAUACAAUUUAUUGUGGAAAUAACGUAAUCCGUAUUUUACAGCAUGUUGUAAAACACGAGGGACCUUUAGCUAGCAGGACGGCGACGGCUAUUAAUACAAUGAAAUUUAUGACAGUGUAGAAAGAAAAUGCAUAAUUAAAGGUCCCAUGGGAGUUUUAGACGUCGUCCUUGCUCUGUUUACAACAGCAAACCAAAGAUUUUCACGUUCUUUACACAACGUCUGCCUUUCAAGCCGCGAGAAGUCGUCCUCGCCAAAGUAGCUUAGUAAAAGUCUUCUCAACUAUAAACCUCUGUCUUAACCUUCUCAAAUUGCAAUAAAUUCAUACAACGGAUAAUACAAGACAUGUUGAUCUUAAAGUUACUUAUUCGGACGAGUUUAUUUUGAUUUUUGGCCGUCGUCGUCGCGUUGCCGUCACCUAUUUGCUAAAGGUCCCUACGGACUGGACCGGGAAAACGCGGACUCAGUCCGCGUUAUUUGUAAAACGCGGACUCACUUUGUAAAACGCGGACUCAGUCCGCGUUAUUUGUAAAACGCGGACUCACUUUGUAAAACGCGGACUCAGUCCGCGAUUUGUAAAACACGGAUUCAGUCGACGUUUUGCGAAUCGUGGCAAAGUUUUUGUAAUACACGGACUCAGUCCAGUACUGACUUUAUACUGGAAUUGCGGCAUAAUUCUGUAUGUAUUUAACCUUUAUAUAAAAUUUGAUCGACGCUAGCCUCAUCUACAUUCAGUUGGCUUCCAUGAGGGGCGUCGAUAUAUACAAAAUAACAUAUUUACAAAAAUGACAAAAAGAAUUUAAAAAGUACAAAGUUACAGGCGACAAACACGAAUAAUAUUUUGUAAUGUGUGACCCUAUCUAAUUAAUAUUCAACCUCGUUCCCAGGGCCUUUUUUAAAAAUGCAUGCGGCGAUGGGAUUAAUAUUCAAUUUAAAAACAUAUUCUCAUUGGGCUAAUUUUGCUUCCAAAGAAAGGCUAUUCCAAAGUUUUGCGCCACUAUAUUUGAAACUUUUUUUAAGGAAUUCCCUUCUCGGAAUUGGUAAAGCUAAAUCAGUAAAUCUAUUUCUAAGAUUGUAAGAUCCUUGCAAUGCACUAUUCAUAGUGAACAAAUUUUUCAAAUUAGGUGCAGUAUAAUUAUUCAAAAUCCUAUACAUUAAUAUCGAUUUAUUCCGUUUUCGUCUUUCCUCCAAAGUUACCCAACCAAGAGAUUCAGCCGAAUUAACUUCGUAUAACUUGCGCCGGCAAUUAUCUUUGCCGCGCGAUUUUGAAAUUUUUGAAGUUUAUCUUUUAAAAAAGCACAACAAUUUCCCAUAAAGGAGGGCAAUAAUCAAGAUAUGGCUGUAACAAGGCAAUAUAAAUAAUUUGCAAAGUAUAUAUAAUUACGAACAAAGGGCUUUAUUCGUUUCAUAAUCAUAUCCUGGAGCUAUAAGUUGUGUUGGUGUAAUGGGCUAGUAUUCCAAAGCCAAAGGUCGUAAUUUCGAUUCCCACCAUGGCCAGGCAUAUUUUUGAGCUUGCCCGGUGUGGAUAUACACUCAGAGUAACAUCACAGGCAUCAAUUUACCAUUAUUUAUUGUUUUGAAUAAACAGAUGAACAGCGUUCAAUCUUAGGAACACGCUCAGCCAUGUGGAACUUUGCCCCACUAUUGUCGAGGAAACUUAUGCGUUAUAUAUCAAAUGUGGCCGUUUCAUAUUAUUUAAAUAGCUGCAGCCUGCAUAUAUAUAGCUCUUAUAUACCAUAGCAGAUAUCAUUUAGUGUUAAUCAUAAUUAGACGAAGCCAUUCUUGAUUACACUCAGUUUUACAAUGGUACGGUUGCGGUUUUGAUUUACGAUCCCAACAAAUAUGAGAUAGAGUUAAUUUGCAUGUUUAUUUUGCGUUCGUGGCGUAUGAAAAUGGUUAUUAUAAAUUUUCGAAAAAUAUGAAAUAAAGAAAUUCUAAUCAGUUCCCCAUUAGUAAAACGCGGACUCAGUUCGCGAUUUGUAAAACGCGGACUCAGUCCGCGUGUUUUACAAAUUGCGGACUGAGUCCGUGUUUUACAAAUCGCGGACUCCGCGUUUUCUGGGUCCAGUCCGUGUUUUACAACAUGCCAAUAUUGCGAGUACAGUAAACUGUAAUGAGACCUUUACCAGUAUAAGAAAAUGGGGAUUUCAGCUAAUUAUCAUUACCACAAAUUACCAUUUGAAAUUAUACCACUUAAAUUUAGUGUAUAACUAAUUUUAAUAUAAUUUAUUCAGUCAUUAUCAAUUAUCUAAUAGAAAUAAUUAUUUGUUUUAAAAAGGACGUGAUGCGAUGUUAAAGAGAGUGCAACAAGACAAGAUGAAGCCCUACAACCAACAGAUCCUACAACAUUGACAAGGUGAGUUGUUCAUAUUAGGCCCUGGGUUAUACAACUAUUAAAAGGGAGAAAUCUGAUUGGCUUCUCAGACAUGGAGGGGAAAUAGAGACAAAAACAUCAUGAUGUCAUUGUAUCAUUCGAUUACAUCGUGACACAAUAAAACAAUCUGAUUCUACCAUGUCAUUAUGUCCUGUUAUCAUGUGGUUUUGUCGUGUUAUCAUGCAGUCACGGAUUUUCUGGCGGGGUGCGGGGGUGCGCACCCCCGCAGAAAUGAUUUGCACCCCCCCCAGAGGCAUUUGGCACCGCCCCCAAAAGUUUUUGCACCCCCGAAAAUUAUAUAUAUUUUGAUUUGAUAGUUUCAUAUUUGAUUAUUCUUACUACUAAAUUUGUAAAAUUACCAAUAUCAUGGUCUCAGAUCUCGCCAUGCAGGCCUAGAAAACAAAUUUUGUUAAACUUUUUCCUUGAGCCUUUCCGGGCGUUGCCACCAGGCCCCGGCCAAAGCAAGCAGCAUCACCCCCAGAUAUUUAUCCCCGAACAAAAAUAUGAAAAUCCGUCUCUGUAAUAUCAUGUCAUGAUGUCGUAUCUUCUUCACAUUUUAAAAUAUGUCAUCUCUUAUGCAAUUUUAUUAUAUGGCAAGCAUCACUUCCGGUGAAAUGGCGCACUGUGAUUGGCCGAGAAGCACUUUCAGCGGUCCAUUAUUUUCCCGUAAUGGCCGACGGUCCAUUGCGUAAAAACAAACGCAUACAUUUUGAAACAACACAGCAAAACUAAUUGAAAAUUUGAAAAUUAUAAUUUAAUUUACGAUAUGUGCGAAUGGUUUUAGUGGAAAAGAAGGAAUACAUUAGUAUUUUUUGUUUUCUUCUACCAAAUGUGUACCACGCUAUUAAUAUGAAUUUCAAAUCAUGCAUUUCCCGUUUGUUUCAAGUAUAAAUGCCAUAUAAUAAACUUUUUAUUAACCUCGCUUGCUCGGUAGGUACAGAGGAAUAUCGGACCUCGGUCUUUUAGCAUAAACCUCGCCCUAUGGCUAUGGGUUCGGUCUGUACAAAAAAAAACCCCGGAGGUCCGAUAUAUCUCUGUAAAUACCUCGCGUAAUUCGGUAAAUAAGACGUUUAUGUCGUGUCAUCUUGUCAUCAUAAUUCAUGUCGUAACAGUAACCUGGCCGGUACUUGGCCGCGAGAUGUGGUACAAGGGCGGAUUUUCAUAUUUUUUUUAAAGGAGGGGUGGAAUAAUUUCUAGUGGGGUGCAAGCGGCACCACCAAGCGAGCUUCGGCAGGGGUUAAGCGUUACGGUUAAAGACUUUCACACAAAAUAGCAGGGGUGAGAAACACUUUCAGCGGUUGAAACGCAUGCAUUUUAAAACAAAACAGCAAAACUAAUUAAAAAUUUGAAAAUUAUAAUCUAAUUUGUUAUUAAUAAGAUAUCUGCGAAUGGUUUUUAGUGGAAAAGAAGGAGUACAUUGGUAUUUUUUUAUUUUCUUCGACCAAAUGUUUACCACGCUACUGAUAUGCAUUUCAAAUCAUGCAUUUCUUGUUUAUAUAUAUGCGUUUUUUUUGUACAGAGGAAUAUUGGACCUCGUUCUUUUUGUACAAACCUCGCCCUACGGGCUCAGUCUGUACAAAAAAGACCUCGGUACGAUGUUUCUCUGUACAGACGUCGCGUUCCGUUAAUAAGAAGUUAAUAAUGACACGAUAACACGACAUAAUAACAAAACAUAAUGACUUAAUAACAAGACCUAAUGACAUUGGACCAUUGGUAGCAUCACAUGAAUGGAAUGAUAUAAUGACAUCAUGAUAUUUUUUCUCUAAUGCCCCUCCAUACUCACAGAACUCCUGCUAUUCAAAAUACGUCAACACAAAUAGUUCGUUUCUUUGUAAUAUUUCUCCGUGAAAAUUGUUACGGGUGCUAAAGCGUCCCAAUUCAAGAGUAUGCGCUUUAGAAACUACUGCAAGUUUUCUUGCACCGGUUCCGUGUAUCCCAGGACCUUCCUCAUUAUCAUAAAAUUUCUAAUGAUAGUUAUUUUUAAUUUCAAAAGUUGAUGUGAUCAAAGAAUCGACGAUGUAACGAUUCGACGAUGUAACGAUUCGACGAUGCAAGCUGAGAGAGGUCAACAUGAAAAGACCAGAAUGAAUGACACGCGGAUGAUAUGACCCAAGAAAAGAAUGACAUUUUGCAACAAUCUGAAACCACGAAUUGCUAAUAUGAAAGUAGUGAAAAUGUUACCAAUGUAAGUUAAAGGCAAGAUACUUAUUCAGAGAUCAAAGAGGAUUCCAGCGAAUACAAUUGUUUCUCGUUGAAAAAAAAAA